rnacentral:rRNA from 1 species
UGGGGAAUAUUGCACAAUGGGCGAAAGCCUGAUGCAGCGACGCCGCGUGAGGGAUGAAGGCCUUCGGGUUGUAAACCUCUUUCAGCAGGGAAGAAGCGAAAGUGACGGUACCUGCAGAAGAAGCACCGGCUAACUACGUG